AUUGUAUUGCUACACAUUGUUUUGGCAGUUUGGUAUAGUGUUGUUGCUAUUAUUUUUUUUUUAUUUCAAUUGAAGCUUAAUUGGAUUGGCUCGGGACCUGGUCCGGCCUCGGAUGAUUCGGUUGAGUUGGCUGAUGUGGAUUCUUCUGUGUUGGAUGAGCUUUUGGUGACACUGAAGAAGUCAGUCUCAGUUCGUUUGGAUGCUAUGAACUAAACAUGGAGUCCUAUCUUCGGUUUUGCCAGAAUCUAUAGGAGCAGCGAAACCAUAUUUGCGGCAAUUCAUUGAUGUAUAUGCAUUUUUGUAGGUUUGGUAGGAAAAUUUAUGGUUUAAAUGUAGUUAUUUAAAUAGCUUUUUUGUAAUAAACCAUAUCUGUACCAACACUUAAAGCGAUAUUAUAAAGUGUAUGUUUUUUUAUA